UCCUUUCCUCUGCUCCUACCCACUCUGCUCCCACCACUCCCUGGAGAAUGGUGGCUUGAAACGUGGAGCAGAAACCCAUCACCGGCCCUAGCCGGGGUUUGGCACAAGCUCUGGCCAUGAAGAGGAGAGACAUAAGCUUCUUUCUUCUCCUCUGCACAGGGAAUGCACGCUUCACUCCGCACAGCUCCUGGCAACAGGCUGUCCAGAACGGGCGCACGCAGCCAGACCGGGUGUACACAGUCGACCGAUCACACAGGAUGCUCAGCCAAGCAGCUGGCACACAUAAAGCUCAACCCGGAAAGCUCACACACACGUCCAGGCACCGGCCACAUCCUGAAAUGCACAGCACGCAUGUAGUGGACAACGGUUGGAGCAGAGAACCCUCCCUGAUGUCCUCAUGGCUGAUCUCCACCAAUCCCUGCCACGGCCUGACUUCUAGCAUCACCACUGUCUCAGCUCUGCCCAGCCACAUUUCCUGCUUCCUGGACAGAAAGAUGGCUCUAUUGUGCCAGCCCUAGUCGAGCGCAUACAACAGGUGUCCAGGGCGAGGGAAGCAGAAUGACCCCUGGAACACUAGGAGCAAGAAAGAGGCAGGCAGGGCAGCUGGCCAGGUUUGUGCUCGACUGUAUUCACUCAGAGACACGUGGCAGCUUACAUUGGACAAAAUGAGUAAUAAAAAUUGGCUUUAAAUAUGGAAAAA